UACGUAGGGUGCGAGCGUUGUCCGGAAUUACUGGGCGUAAAGAGCUCGUAGGUGGUUUGUCGCGUUGUUCGUGAAAACUCACAGCUCAACUGUGGGCGUGCGGGCGAUACGGGCAGACUAGAGGUAUGCAGGGGAGAACGGAAUUCCUGGUGUAGCGGUGAAAUGCGCAGAUAUCAGGAGGAACACCGGUGGCGAAGGCGGGUCUCUGGGCAGUGAACUGACGCUGGAGGAGCGAAAGCGUGGGGAGCGAACAGGA
rnacentral:rRNA from 1 species